GGCGAGAUGGCCGAGCGGUCUAAGGCGCCAGACUAAGGAGACCAGGACAUUCAGUGUGUCCAAACGUGUUCGAAACAUCUGGUCUUUCGGGACGUGGGUUCGAAUCUCACUCUCGUCA